rnacentral:rRNA from 1 species
ACGGGAGGCAGCAGUGGGGAAUAUUGGACAAUGGGGGGAACCCUGAUCCAGCCAUGCCGCGUGUGUGAAGAAGGCCUUUUGGUUGUAAAGCACUUUAAGCGAGGAGGAGGCUACCGAGAUUAAUACUCUUGGAUAGUGGACGUUACUCGCAGAAUAAGCACCGGCUAACUCUGUGCCAGCAGCCGCGGUAAUACAGAGGGUGCAAGCGUUAAUCGGAUUUACUGGGCGUAAAGCGCGCGUAGGUGGCCAAUUAAGUCAAAUGUGAAAUCCCCGAGCUUAACUUGGGAAUUGCAUUCGAUACUGGUUGGCUAGAGUAUGGGAGAGGAUGGUAGAAUUCCAGGUGUAGCGGUGAAAUGCGUAGAGAUCUGGAGGAAUACCGAUGGCGAAGGCAGCCAUCUGGCCUAAUACUGACACUGAGGUGCGAAAGCAUGGGGAGCAAACAGGAUUAGAUACCCUGGUA